AAAUAUAGUACUGAUUUUAAAACCAAAACACAAUCGUCAAAGGAAUUCUUAAAAAAUAAUUAAUUAAACAAGAACUUAAAAGGAAAUAGGCAUAUGAAACGAAUUGAGGAAAAAAUAAAAAUAAAAAAAACUGAAAUAAAAUUAUAAAAUAACUACUACUAUUAAAAUAAGGAUCCUCGUACAACGCGUGUAUACAUAUAAGGGUUAAUGCUCAAAAUAUUCUAGAUCUCCUAAACAUUCUGAUUAAGCAUGGAUCCAAUUGCAAAUACACUCAAAUUACCAGGUCAAAUAACAAAAAAUAAGCACAUAACUUAUAAUUGAAUAGUAGCGUGAAAGAAGAAGGAUCAAUUUCGAAAUUAUCCCUCUCCAUGAAAAUGAGCGGAUCCUAGGGAGAAAGGAAUCGGAUCGGGUCGAGCAGGCUUAAAUGGCGUCGUUUCAAGGCUACAAAUCCAUGCCUUGAACGUCGUCGUUCCACGGUGCUGAUUAAAAGCAAAAAAAAAUAGCUUCUAGAGCUUAUUUCAGCAGAGCAAAUCGAAAGGGAGGAGAAAACCCUAAGGGUUUGCUCACAUUCGGCCGCCGCUUUCAACAUCAAAAUUGGUGAAUGGUGCCAUUUGAUUCCCCUCGUCACCAACGCCGAUCUUCCCUCAAAAACGACAACCAAUAGAUGUGACCUUUUAAUGAUGAUUUUCAGCCUCAAGACCUCCUAUUCCACUUCAAAUUUGACGAAGCAAAGAGAGAUCAAUGACCGAUCCAUAAGGUGAGAUUUCUUCUCCCUUUCUUCCUAUUAUUUUCUAACUCAAUAAUGAAAAAAAUAAGAAUGAAGUCAUUCAGUUGAAAUUUAAAAGCAAAUAUUAAGCAGAAAAUCACCUUUUCUAAAAAAAACUUGUGAAACGCUCUAUUUUUUAUAUCUAGUGUGCGUAGUAUCUUCCUAAUCCCCUUUGCAGGUACAUUCGAUGGCAUUCUAUAGCCAGAUUUACAGAGUAAAUAAAAAAUAAAAUUACAUUUUCUUGCUGUCAAUCACUGUAAAUUCUGUUAGCUUCUUUCUCGUGCAUUCCUUUGCUGUUUAUUUUCCUUCUCGCAUGUUCCAUUGACGUGGAGGAACGGAGGUGCACUUGCGAUGUAGCGAGGCCACUCGUGAAGGCUGCGGCAUGAGGCUACUGACUUAGGGUUUCAUUUUCUGAAACUGAAGCUUGUAUUAUUUGGGCCAUUGGCUGUGUACUUUGUUGGGUUUAGGUUUUUUAAUUUGGGCCCGUUAUUUUUGGUUGUUGGGCUAUGUAAGAAAUCGACAUUGGACUUUAUUAUUAUUAUUAUUUUAUAUUUUGAUUUGUUUUUUAGUUUGUGUAAGCCCGGGCACAAAUUGGGUCUUACAGCUAGUAUUUAACACCUUUAGUUAUCAAAAUAGGACUUUUACACUGUAUGUGAUUUAGUCCUUUCUCACAAUUGGGCUCACAAUAGCUAAAAUUAAUUCACCAAAAUUUUCAUGCUCCCAUAUAAGCAUGCCACAACACAUAAAAUAAUAUUAAAAAUAAUUUCUCUAUCCUCAGAUUAGUGGUCCUGAAAAUACUGUUCCGACUGGGCCCAAAAUCGGGCUGUUACAAUUCUCUCCCUUAGGGGUUUUCGUCCCCGAAAAUCUUACCGGUGAAUAGAUUUGGGUAUUGGCCUCCAAUGGUCUCCUCGGGUUCCCAUGUGGCUUCUCUGACUCUAUGUCUAUGCCAUAAUAUUUUAAGAAGUGCAAU
rnacentral:lncRNA from 1 species